UGGUUGGAAGCAGGAGGCAAAAGGAGCUGGAGAUAAUCAAGGAAGUUAGAGAAAUGGUUAUGAAUGGAGCAAUAACGCGUAAUAGUUUGGUUCCUCCACAGCUUAACAAGGAACAUAGCACACAUAUUGAAGAGGAAGUGAGAAGAAUCAAGAGGGAACAUCCCGAAGAUGAUGGUGCAAUAGAAAAUGAUAGAGUUAAAGGUUAUCUUAAGGUCACUCGUGCAUUUGGAGCUGGAUUUCUCAAACAGGUUAACAUUAUUAACAUAUAAGCUACGACACGUGACAAAUUCUUGAUCCUCUCUUCGGAUGGGUUGUAUGAAUAUUUCUCUAACCAAGAAGCCAUUUUCGAGGUUGAAUCUUUCAUCUCUGCUUUUCCUGAAGGCGAUCCAGCUCAACACUUGAUUCAGGAGGUCCUCCUACGUGCUGCCAACAAAUAUGGUAUGGAUUUUCAUGAACUGUUGGAAAUACCACAAGGAGAUCGUCGGAGGUAUCAUGAUGAUAUCUCUGUGAUUGUUAUCUCACUUGAAGGAAGAAUAUGGAGAUCGUCCAUGUGAAUAUUGUUAUUAUUUUUUUCAUGAAUUGAAUCCUUUGAAGAACUAAUUUCAAUAACUCGGUUUGUUUUUUUCCUUUUCCAAUUUGAAUUUUUCUCACAAUAUUUUUUAUUUGAUGUAUUUAUUUUUACCUAAAUAGUUUUGUGAACAAAAAGCGAACCAAAGUGGGCAUAUACAUAUCUUUGGCUUUUCUUGGUUUCCUUGUAAAUCAAAUCAUUUUCUCUUCGCUUGAUAUAAUAGAACUUUAUCAAAAACCGCAAGUAUUCUUUAUAUCUUAUAUUCUAGGUUUCUAACUACAGUACUUACAAUUUAAUAUCAACAGCAACACAACAAAUGACUGAUGAGUCUGCAACUCUUUACUAUAGACAUUGAAUACGUAUGUUGUUGAAAUAAUUAGUAUGUUAGAUCUAGAAGAUCCCAAUGUCAAUACUAUAUAUAAUACAUACGUGUGUCGGUAUGUGUAUACUUCAUUUAAAAAAAAUCCAUGCGUUUAACUUCUUUUUAGAAAAUAAUUCCCACAUUUUUCAUGGAUAUAUUAUAUUCCUUAAGAACUUUGUUUUAAAAUUCAAACUAUUUAUAACCUAAAAAAGCCUGUAAGUCCCAACUUCGAAGGGUUUGUAUCAGUUUCUUUUGAUCUGAAAAUGUGGAAAGACGCGUUCGGGACGCUUUGUCAAUGGUUAGAUAAAAACCUCAUUUGACAUAUGAUCUAUCAACUUAUCCAUCAUACUCACAGUUUUGAAAUCAAAAGUCUUUUUCCUCUCAGACUUCCAAUAAAAAAUAUCUUCUUUUACUUUCACAAAGACUUUUGCUUUUUUGUUCUUGUUCACGAAAAUAUACAAAAUGUUACUUUUUCAAGAUUCAUAUUAUGAAUGUCAAUAUGAAGAUAUAUUUCAUCAUACUCGGCCAUAAAUAUAAAAAUAUUUGUGACUAUCAUAAGUCAAAAAGUUGUCUCUUUCUAUUUUUCUUCUCAAAAUUAUUUAUCAGAACCAAUCAUGUUAUUAAGAGAGCAAUGUUACACAUAUAUCAUAUAUGAUAUGCAUUUUACAUAUUUGUUUUAGAUUUUUUUUUUGUUCUAACAAUAAGAUAAUAGUCACAACUCUCACCUAGUUAAACUUUAAUUUUCUAGUAUGAUCAAUCAUAUUUAUUAAGAGAGCAAUGAUACAAAUAUUAUGAGAUUUAAGCUAAAAUAGAUGAACUGUUUGCCAUUUUUAAGUUUGGUAAAACUACGAAAACAUUAGGACUGUAUCAAAAGAAAAAAGCACACGUUUGCUCCUAAAAAUGCGACUGUAUCUAUUUCUGACAAAAUAGUGCAAAGCUCUGCUCCCAAGACUUUGGAAGUUCUCUUCCACAUUGACUCACCAAACAUUCUCACACACAUAAGCCAUCCACUUUGCUUUUCCUUAUUAGGUGACCAUUACAUAGUCUUCUCUUAUCGGAAAUAAGUAGUUGGUAAUGUGUAAGACAUUAACAUUUUCAUUUUUAAUCACAAUUUCACGUACGUAGGACCACGCUCGAGACGAUUUCCUAUACUAAAAUUAGUGAAAUCAUUUUUUUAAUAAACACACAAGUAGGAUAAUACAACUAACUUCUAUUAUCACAAUUCACAAGCUCAUUUUACUUAUGUAAAUUUUAUUUUUGUGCAUAGCUUAAAUUCAAUAUAAGAAAGAAACACAACAUUUCAGUAGCGACAAGAGCGGUUAAUCUAAAUGGGUGUAGUUGGUGAAUCAGCAUUUCAAGUAGUUCGAACCAGAAAGUGUUAUGAACUCGCCAGCUUCUGAGGAAACUAACAGUAUAUUAACAACAAAAGAGUAUAAACCUUUGUCCCUACCAAAUAAACCUUUGGACACCAUUCUCAUAGCUCCACUUGAAUGGUCUAAACAAGAACAUUGCCAUUGUAAACACAUUGAUACAGACCAAAAUCGUUCCAUUGAGAAGCCAAGUGAUGCAACCGCUGCUUCUGACACAUGAGUGAAGCAUGAAGAUAUAAAACGGUACGGUGUAAUAUAUGAACUCGAUCAAUGGCGAACAAGUACAGCACAUGUAGCUAAGAAAUAGACCAACACCCAGAUCUUCCUUCGGGUUUUUGCUGUCGGAUUGAGACAGAACCAAAAUCACAUUCACUAUGCAAAAAAAUAAAUACAUCAAAUGAAAAAUAUUGUGAGAAAAAUUCAAAUUGGAAAAAGAAAAAACAAACCGAGUUAUUGAAAAUUAGUUCUUCAAAGGAUUCAACUCAUGAAAAAAUAAUAACAAUAUUAACAUGGACGAUCUCAACUUUGUCCAAUAAAGGCGCUCUGUUGAGAUGAGAAUCGGAAGCAGAUUCAUUCGUGGGAUCAUCAACUUGGUCCGAUAAAGGCUCUAUGUUGAGAUGAGAAACACAACUUGGUCCCUCCUCUUUCUAUGCAAGGAUAAGCACAAGAUAAUAUAUGCACAAGAUAAGCACAAGGAUAAGUCCUUGAGAGUUGUGACUAUUUUGUUAACCAGGAGUAGAAGUAAACCGGGACUAGCAUGUAUUUCAUCAACCAAUGAGCAUUGAUAGUUUUCCUCCAAAGAUAGGAAGGAUAGUGGCAGUUAUCAGCCAGAAGAUAAGAUGUUUUGGUUUCAACGAGUAUAAAACGUUCAAUCCACUUUUAUUGGGAAAUUUAUGCAAGCCUACAAGAGAGAAGAAGCCCAUCAUCCUUAGCAUAUACAUACAUAUAAAUAAGAAUAAGAACUAUUGAAGAAGAAACUUAAAACAUACAAAAGGGUCACAUUAAAUUUUGAUCUAUCAUUUCCCCCAAAUGCAUAUGUUAAAGACAAUUAAUCAUCAGCUUUUUCCUGUUCGAUUUCAAUAGAAGAUUCAUGUGUUGCGCUGAGUUUCCAAAAGUAAAAUCCCUGAUAAUCUGAAAAUGAAAAUUGUUUAAAUUAAGAAUAUUUUCAGAUUCCAUUACAAAACCGUCAGAGGCAAAGAACAUGAAAGCCAAAAAUAUUACUACUUCAGACACGAUUGGAAGGAAGCACAUGUUCAUUAUAGAAAAAAAAAAGAAAAAAAGAAAUUCAACUUAGGAUCUAACUAGAGCCGGCCCUUGGGCCAAGCGGAUGAAGCCCAUGCUUCCGGCCGCCUCUAAUUAUAUAUAAAAUCGGCCACAAAAUUCAUAAAGGUAUUUGUAGCCUAGUGGUUCAUUUGUUUGAAAUAAGAUCUCUCUGGCCCAACCCAUGUUUGAAUGUUUACCGAUGCAUUUUAGGGCGGCCAAUUUUUUUUUUACUUUGCUUCUAGUCUCAAGACCGGCUCUGAUCUAACCCCAGCAACUAUGACAAGAACUAGGUUAUGAAACUAGAAAUGGUCGUCAAAGAUCCAGCAGUCUUGACAUACAAAACUUGUUACGAGAGAUUGAUUCACUCACUGCUAAUUAAUUAGGUACGACAAUACAACUGUGUGGACUGUUGAGUGAAGUAAAGUGAAAAUCUUACUUUUGACAUUAACUUUCUCCUUUAAUCCGUAAACCUUUUGGAGGCAAGGACCCACCCCGUUUGUAACGGCUACUUGUCCAUUUUUUUAUUUAAUUUGGUCAAUUUCUCUCUCUCUCUCUCUCUCUCUCUCUCGACAAAACCAAAACCAAAACCAAAAGAGAUUUGCACCUUCCGUUCACCAUCACCAGCAGCUCUCCGCCGCCGGUGGCGGGUCUCUUCUCUUAUCAUUUUUUUUUUGCUCUUCUUCAUCAUUAGCUUCUCAUCUCCGACAUUGUUUGCUCUUGGUAGCUUUUCUGGCCUCGAAGCCUUUUCCCGGCCAGAUUUGCUGGCGGAUGAAGCUGGGACCUGCGGCGAGGAGAUGAAGCUGAACGGUGAGGUUGAGCUUCAAGUCUUCCUCUGAUUCUUCUCAGCUCAGCUACCUCGCUUUCCGUUCCAAGCUUCUAGAUCCGUCGGAGGCAGGGAGCUCCAUUCUCUGCUUCUCAGAGCUGUCCGUCUUGUGGGUCCAUCAUGUUGAUUUUGACUGUCCAAGGAAGAAAUUUCUUUUUGAGGUCUUUCUCUCGAGCGGUGGAGAAACCGUUUGCAUCGGCGGCGGUCUAAACGCCACAACCCCUAGUGGCCGAUUCGAAUUGGAGCAGUUCAUCGAGAAUCAUUACAGGCAGAGACUGUUUCAAAGGAAAGUGGCAAAGAUGAAGACGAGAACCAGAUGAUGAGGAAUGGCGAGUCUGUAUUGUUUGGCAAAUGUUCCUUUUGGUGAGAGUUCUUUGGUCUGUGGUACUUCGGAGGCAGAGACGGGCAGUGGUCGUUCAUAUGCGGGUAUGGCUCCAUAGGGUUGUAAUCUGGAAGCUCCAUUCUGUAUUUCUCAAGUAUUUGACAGUACGGAAGCUUCACAUCGUCGUUGUCGUUGCACCAUGUGGGCAAACGGCUUGCAUUGUUCUCGAAAAACUUGAGCAUGUAAGCAUCUUUAAUCUGCAAUAAUGGAUUCCCUUGUUCA